rnacentral:tRNA from 1 species
ACUUUUGUGGUGUAAAACACAUUACAUUUUCACUGUAAAGCUAAAGAAAAUCUUUCUAAAGUA